CGGAGGAGCGCGGAGCUCUGUCCCAGGGGGCGUGGCCUAGGCGAGGGUGCACGGGACCCGCUGUGCGGGCGAGGAGGAGGGGCUCGAGAUCCGCCCGGGGAGGCAGCGCGGAGCCGCCCGCCCGCCCACACGGCGCUGCACGUGCCCCGAGCCGGCAUGCAGGAGCCCCGGGGCCGCCUGCUCCUUCCAUCCCGACCCCAGCCCCAAAACAUCCGGGGAGCCCCCUCCUCGGCGCCUCCGGGUGCUUAGUGUUACCUUUUACACGUGGCUGUUCACUAAUUACUGAGAAGGAAAUUCCCGUCAGGGUACUGAGGAAGCUCCUAAUCCUGAAAUGCUUCCAUCAGCUGCCCAAAGAGCUGCAGAGGCACAGUCAUCUGGAGAGUGCCUCAAGGAUCCCCAUCUCUCCGCAGCAGCGCCAUCCAUCCUGAUGCAAGCAAAGGCUGGGUGUGAGGCCACGGAUGCCAAUUGCGAGGCAUGGGACACGGUGUAGGGAAGGUCGGAGCCGUGUAUAUAAGCCCUAGGUAUCAGCGUGUGGCAGGGCACUGCUAGUGCCUGCCACUUUAAGGGCUGGGUCAGGCAUCCAGCAAGUGCCUGAUGGCAGCAGUCAUUUUGACAACUUUGUAUAUAAAGGCUGCAGUCUGCUGCUGCCAGCCGAGGCAGAAACACUGCCUCGCUGAGCUGCAGCAGGAACAACCAGGCGGUAAGGGAAAGAGCUUAUGGGGAUGGCUAGGAGGCUCUUGGUCCUGGGCACGACCGAAAACUGCACCCUGCCGGGAAUGGGUGGCCUGGUGGGGCUCCUAGUGGCGUGGGAGCCCCCAGGAAAUGCCAGGCCAGUUACCACCCCGGUGAAAGGCGGGUCGGGGCGCCUUUAUAACCCCAGCUCCCACAACCAGGUGGGUAACCCCAUAGUAGGCCUGAGACAGCGGACCCCUGUGAGAGAGCGGACUAGAUGCUCACAAUCCUGACUUGAGGCACCCUCAACUGGUCAGUGCUGGGGCCAGGACCAGAAGGGUCAAAAGGGCCAGGGGCCCACUGUGAGGGACGCCCAGAGCCAAGGGCCUGGGGUUUCUAACUGGCCUUGGAGGGGAGGCCAGGGCCUGUGUGGCCAAAGGUCCCGGGGUGUGGGGCACACCUGAGAGGGGGAAGAGUGCAGGGAGGUAGACAGCCCAGAAUGAGGGCGGAGUAGGCCGCCUGAUCGGAAGGAGCCAGUUGGGGUCCAGACUGGAGGAUUAUGGGGCCCAGGAUGGGGCCAAAGAUGCUAAGAACUGGGAUGCCAGCUGUGAGACAUGAGCUGCAGCAUAGGGGAGGAUUUGGAGCUGCAGAUAACAUCCCCAGGCAUUCGGGCAAGAAAUGGACAGCCUACCGCUUAAUUAAGACCAUCCUUUUGUAUUGCCACGGUGUGGCAGGAAAGAGAGGCGGGCGCUUAGCCCAGAAAUAGGUGGUCAGGAAGGGCCUCCUGUUACACAGUGCAAGUAAAUGGGCAGCUUCCUGCCACGUUCUCAUCUUUCACCUGUAUCAUCAAGGUUGUGGCAGGUGAGGGAGGCGGGCAGUUAGCCCUGAGACAAGUGGGUGGGUCAACGAUUUGACCGGCCCCAGGAUGCCCACUUGUUACCAGUGGACAGGAGGAUUAAGGUUCAACCAGACUGACCAGCAGCACUGGUGUUGCGGGGGACUCCUGCUUGGGACACCCCUCUGAAUUUGGUUGGUGUUUGUGAGAGACGCACUGAAAUUAGAUUAAGGGUUCAAAAACAUAAAAGGGACUGCUUUAGGACUAAGAGGAACAUGAGAAUAAAGAGGAUAAAGAAUGAUAAUGACAAGGCAGGUAAACAAUGGGAAGCACACACAAUAAUACCGAUGCAGUACUUUACUAAAUAUCACAAUCAGCUGGAAGGCCCAAAUGAAAUAACAGGAAAAUGGAAAAUGGCAUCAAGGAAGCAGACAGUUAAGAACAGGGCAGAAAAUUAUGGCAUCCAGAGGAUGAAACCAGUCUGUCAAUCCAAGGUGGUUCAAAUAGUUUGGAAGGUCACCUGGGACUGGGUUGUUCAGCACUAUUGCCUCUCACCCUCCAUGUGGAGCAGAGAUUACACUCACCAGUCUCUUUGAAUCAGAUGCAGCCAGGCACAGCUCUCCCACAACUCCAAUCAUAGCACCUUUGCCAGUGUAGUGAGAGAACAGCUGCUGAUGAGUCAGGCAGUUGUGUGAACUAUCCGAGGCCAAAGUACCCUUUAUAGAACCUACCUGUACGGCAUGUAUCAAGAAUGGAAUCACCUUACUACGUCUUAGAGCUCAUCAUGUUGUGAGAAACUGGUUAUCAACUUUCAAUAUUGAGAUUGGGCGGUAGGCUCCACAUGUUAAACCUUUCUUUCACUUCUUGAGUAGACAAAUAGAUAAAGCUGUUCUUGCUUCUCUAGACAGAAUUCCAUUUUCAACUAUUUCACUGUACAUAGUUUAUAAUAAUUGUUGCCAGACUUUUCCGGAAAGGUUUCUAAAAUUCAGAUGGAAAACUGCCAGAGCUUUCCCCUCUCAAAGAAAUGCAGCACCUCCGUAACUUUCUGUAACGUGAUCUCCUUCUCUAGUUCAAUUGCUUGACAUAUUCAAAUCUAAUUCAUAUAGCUUCUAAUCUAAUACUGUAUUAUCAUUGGAGGUAAUUAUUGCAGAGAUCUGCUAUUUGAUGCCUCUGCCUAAAGUCUUCUAGCCAAUAACUUACCUGCCUUGUCACGCCACUCAUAGUCAUGUUAACUCUCUUGACCUGACAUGCAAUCCCAUGUCAAAAUGUUUAUGUAUCAUCACAAGAGACUUAUUCUGUCUGUCUGGAGCACUCUGAUUAGUUGUCUUGGCAGCCAAUCGCAAUGCUGAAACUGAAACAACCAAAAGUGCAGACAGAAUAAGACCAUUUCAGACAGAUAUGUAGACAACUUAGAGGUAGAACGAAGCACUGGGGCGCUCUGCUGUGGAGUGGGUAGGGUCCGACGAGGGCACGGGGGUGAGGGGGCAGGGUUGAGAGGUGGGGAAAUAAAGCAGUGAGGGGCCCGUUCCCCAUUUUUCCCCUCCAGAACCUGCCUGCCUCUCCUGCAGCCAGAGGGUGAGCUGCCAGUGGGAUCUGAGCUGCUGGGGGCCUCCAGUGCUUCCCUGCAUGGUGAUGGUGCCCCACAGGACUGCCGGGCCGGGUGUCAGCGGGUGGGUGCUGCCCAUGCAGUGCCGCCACCACAGCAGGAAGCACUGGAGUUCCCUGCAGCUCAGGGGCUGCAUGAACCACUGGCAGCUCACUCCUCAGCCACGGGAGAUGCAGGCAGGGACCGGGAGGAAAAAAAAUGAAGAUCAGGCCCCUCACUGUUUUUGUGGGGUUUUUUACUUGGCAGAGCCUGCCUGCAUGAGUUGCCACUGGGUCUUACAGCCCCUGAGCUGUAGGAGGGCCUUGUACUUCCCGCAGCGGUGGCAGACCCCCACUGGGCCGGCUGGGCAGGGUGCUAGCUGCUCGGGUGCAGCCCCAGCUCUCAGGCAGUAUCUGCCAGAACCAAUGGUGCAUGCGGCACUGGAAGCCUGGGUGUUUUCAGGGAAACUCAGGCUUGGUGGGCUUCCAGCACCCCGUGCACCGUCCCUGCCACCUUCCCACCACCUGGAACCACCCGGGAAUGGGCUGGCUGCCCCGGGAUGGUAGUGGGAUGGCAGCUGGGUGUGAUGGCAGCCAGAGAAGGUGUCAGGGAUGGGGUACGGGGCAGUGAAUACCCACCAAGCCCAAGCUUCCUCCAGCACCCUCAGGCUGCCAGCACCCCCAGGCUGCCAGCACCCCAUGUACCAUCCCCAUCGCCUCCUCCAGAUAGGGCCCUUGUACAUGUGAGGAAUAGCGCUGUAAUAUGUUAUGAAGAAAACUAAUACACAUGGGAUGUGUUUUACUUUGCUAUGUAAAAACUCAUUUAAAUCUUAACAUGCCACCGAACCUGUACAUCAUUACACAUUUAAAUGGUUAAAAAUGGGCAACGAAGCCACUUAAAUGGGCUAUUUCCUCACAUAUACAAGAGCUGUUAGUCACGUAUACAAGGGCCCUCUUAUUCUAUGACUGUAACCAAGUCACAAGGUCAAACUUUUGACAAAAUAUGUGCUUGUAUUCCUAAGCCUGUGUUUACACAUGGACAGCUUUACGUAGCCAUUUGAAGGGUGAGAAUUUUUGAUUCUGUUAAAGUAUUCGGUCAAUCACUAUCCUAAAAUCCUGUAUUUAAAGUAAUAAUUUUGCAAUAAAAAUGUAAUGACAAAUGUUU